rnacentral:rRNA from 1 species
AGAGUUUGAUCCUGGCUCAGGAUGAACGCUGGCGGUCUGCUUAACACAUGCAAGUCGAACGGAGUGCUUCGGUACUUAGUGGCGGACGGGUGAGUAACGCGUGAGGAUCUGCCCUCAGGAGGGGGACAACGACUGGAAACGGUCGCUAAUACCCCAUAUGCCGAGAGGUGAAAUGUUUUUUCGCCUGAGGAUGAGCUCGCGUCAGAUUAGCUAGUUGGUGGGGUAACGGCCUAUCAAGGCGACGAUCUGUAGCUGGUCUGAGAGGAUGAUCAGCCACACUGGGACUGAGACACGGCCCAGACUCCUACGGGAGGCAGCAGUGGGGAAUUUUCCGCAAUGGGCGAAAGCCUGACGGAGCAAGACCGCGUGAGGGAUGACGGCCUAAUGGUUGUAAACCUCUUUUCUCUGGGAAGAUAAUGACGGUACCAGAGGAAUAAGCCUCGGCUAACUCCGUGCCAGCAGCCGCGGUAAUACGGAGGAGGCAAGCGUUAUCCGGAAUUAUUGGGCGUAAAGCGUCCGUAGGUGGUUAAUCAAGUCAGCUGUUAAAGAGCGGAGCUCAACUCCGUUAGAGCGGUUGAAACUGAUUGACUAGAGUUUGGUAGGGGUCGAGGGAAUUCCCAGUGUAGCGGUGAAAUGCGUAGAUAUUGGGAAGAACACCGGUGGCGAAAGCGCUCGACUGGGCCUGAACUGACACUGAGGGACGAAAGCUAGGGGAGCGAAAGGGAUUAGAUACCCCUGUAGUCCUAGCCGUAAACGAUGGAUACUAGGUGUUGCUCGUUAUCGACCCGAGCCGUGCCGAAGC